rnacentral:rRNA from 1 species
CGAUGAUCCGGUUUCGGCCGGGGAUUAGUGGCGAACGGGUGAGUAACACGUGGGCAAUCUGCCCUGCACUCUGGGACAAGCCCUGGAAACGGGGUCUAAUACCGGAUAGUACCUUCGGGCGCAUGCCUGUUGGUGGAAAGCUCCGGCGGUGCAGGAUGGGCCCGCGGCCUAUCAGCUUGUUGGUGGGGUGAUGGCCUACCAAGGCGACGACGGGUAGCCGGCCUGAGAGGGCGACCGGCCACACUGGGACUGAGACACGGCCCAGACUCCUACGGGAGGCAGCAGUGGGGAAUAUUGCACAAUGGGCGCAAGCCUGAUGCAGCGACGCCGCGUGAGGGAUGACGGCCUUCGGGUUGUAAACCUCUUUCAGCAGGGAAGAAGCGAGAGUGACGGUACCUGCAGAAGAAGCGCCGGCUAACUACGUGCCAGCAGCCG